UGCUAAGUCGCUUCAGUUGUGUCCAACUUUGUGCGGCCCCAUAAACGGCAGCCCACCAGGCUCCUCCUUCCCUGGGAUUCUCCAGGCAAGAACACUGGAGUGGGUUGCCAUUUCCUUCUCCAAUGCAUGAAAGUGAAAAGCGAAAGUGAAGUCCCUCAGUCGUGUCCGACUCUCCGUGACCCCAUGGACUGCAGCCUACCAGGCUCCUCCAUCCAUGAGAUUUUCCAGGUAUAAAUUCCAUGAAGAUAGAAUUCCAUUAUCUGUCAAUCACAGAUAGCUUCAAUGAAAGAAGUUAAUUCUGAACCCCAGCAGUCUGACUUCAAGGCCUGUGUGCUUAACUGGGUUUGAGGGACAACUUGCUGCUGAUACUAGAAAACCUGACCCUUGCUCCGCAAUGCUUUGAGAAGAUCUUGACCAAAAUGUGGAAAUGUAAAAAAUUAAUAAACAGAUCUAACCUCAAUUAAUCACAUUUUGCAACCUAGAAAUUUCAUCUACUGGAAAAGAUACCUUCAGAAGAACCCUUGUUGAAGAGAACCUUAUCAGAUACCACUACCCACCCCUUGUGCCACCAAACUCCAAGGAAUAGACUUUUGGAUUCAUGUGACAAACCAAAGGAAAGUACCAAACACUGACUGGACCUGUAUAUCAUCUGGUAACUUAAAAGUAAACAUUUGCCAGAAUUGAAGCAGACAACAUCUGAUGAGACACUUUUCCUAAGAUAUAUGGACCAGGCCUGCUGGAAGUAUGUUGUCAAAUCUUUAAUGAUGACAGUUGAUUUCCAAUAUAUUGCAUCAUUGAACCUUAUAUUUAAUUCCUCCCUAUAUACAUGUCCUUGGCCAUAUCACUUUGAUUUGCCCACUGCUUGACUCUGGGUUUGGUCAUGUAAUUUGCUUUGAUCAACUGGAUUUUAGUAGACAUGAUGUAAGCUUGAAAUGAAUGUACAUGAUUGGAUUUUCCUUCUUUCUCUCCUACUUCUAUCAAUACUAAAAGAAUAUGCCCAGACGUGUCUAGUGGAGUAUAGAAGAGACAUGUGAAGUAUAACAGAGUUGCUCUAGUCAUCUCAGGUGGGGGCAGCAUAGAUAAGAAAAUAAGCUAGUAGAUUCUCUGGACAAAUAAAUGACCCUAAACAAGAAUAACAAAUCAUCAGCUGAGUGAGAUAGUAACUGGAUAUUGCAUGUUUUUACUUUACCUAAAGUUAUUUAAAUUUUAGUAUAUUUUUUAUGAAACAUUAAUAGAAAUGAGUUCAUUUUAAAAACUGAGAUUUUUUAUUGUAAUUUUUGUUUAAGAUUGUUAACAAUCUGCAUCAAUU
ensembl:lncRNA